rnacentral:lncRNA from 1 species
AAUCAUGUUGCUAUGUCUUCAACCUUUUUCAAAAAUCAGAAUUUUUAUGUUUUCAUCGUAUAAAUUCCUUGAUUUGAUGCCUUCCUUGUUUAUCCAUUUGAUACAAAAAUGUUUGGGUUUCAAGUAAAAAGGUCACUGGAUUCUUAAACAUGCAGUGAUGAACAUGACUGCCCAUGACCCUAUUUUCUUUGGUACUUCUAUCGUUACCCCACCAUCCAGCCCGCAC